rnacentral:lncRNA from 1 species
GGAACACAUGAACUCCUAAGAGCUAAUACAAGCAUUUGGGAAAUUAUCUGUUGUCUGGUGUCAGCACUGGAACAGGGCAGCAGAGCUGGAGAGUAAGAAGCAGAGCUGGAGAGUAAGAAGUGUUUGUUAAGUCACCGCGCAGGAGGCGACAGAAUCAGAGGUGACGAAUGUAAGUCCACCCGUUGGCUUAAGAUCCAGUAUCCUGAGUGAGUUGCACGGAUCGUCUCCUUCAGUCCUCUCAGCAGGGGUCCAGCGUUAAUUAGAACCCAGCCUGGGAGCAGCUGGAACUCUCGGCGCUCCUGGCUCAGUCCUCGCCGCCCUGAACCCGUCUGCACCGCAGGGCCCGAGUGGGAAGCAGAGGCCACAUUUCUGGAUAUGAGGAAAAGCUCCGACAUUUCGUCCACUCUCGUGUUGUGAACUUUAAAAAAUUCUGGAAUCUGUUGAGAAUUUGGCAAUAGGUUUUUAACCACUAAAUAUGUCAACA